rnacentral:rRNA from 1 species
CAGGUCUUGACAUCCCCUGACAACCCAAGAGAUUGGGCGUUCCCCCUUCGGGGGGACAGGGUGACAGGUGGUGCAUGGUUGUCGUCAGCUCGUGUCGUGAGAUGUUGGGUUAAGUCCCGCAACGAGCGCAACCCUUGCCUCUAGUUGCCAGCAUUCAGUUGGGCACUCUAGAGGGACUGCCGGCUAAAAGUCGGAGGAAGGUGGGGAUGACGUCAAAUCAUCAUGCCCCUUAUGACCUGGGCUACACACGUGCUACAAUGGGCGGUACAAAGGGCUGCGAACCCGCGAGGGGGAGCGAAUCCCAAAAAGCCGCUCUCAGUUCGGAUUGCAGGCUGCAACUCGCCUGCAUGAAGCCGGAAUCGCUAGUAAUCGCGGAUCAGCAUGCCGCGGUGAAUACGUUCCCGGGCCUUGUACACACCGCCCGUCACACCACGAGAGCUUGCAACACCCGAAGUCGGUGAGGUAACCCUUACGGGAGCCAGCCGCCGAAGGUGGGGCAAGUGAUUGGGGUGAAGUCGUAACAAGGUAGCCGUACCGGAAGGUGCGGCUGGAUCACCUCCU